AUCCCAAAUCUUCUUCCCAAUUCACUGGAGGUGCAGGAGUUGGUAUGCAAUCAAUGCGGGACUUCAUCUUCUUUCCUAACAGGAAAGGUAUGCACGACAAAUCAAUAAGUAAAUCGAUAGUCGACAAUUGAUAUCACUAAAUACAACUUAUGCUUAUCGCACAGGAACUCCCACGUGUCGCUAUAGUAUACAAGUAAACUCCUUCCUGUCGGUAUUUUAUAUACUCACACGUCUACCAAAAGCAAUUUACCGUAAUAAUAUAUUCAUUGUAGGAGAUUGCUGCUGUCAUAUGCCACACAUGCAGUGGUUGCAAGUUACUGCUGCUUAAGUGUUGUAGGUUAAACAAAUGGAAGCUUUGUUGGGCUGUAAGUCAGCGUCUUAGCGUCUGCGAGUUGUUACUUUAAGUACUAUAAUAUUAUGCAUUUGUGUGUAUGUAAUUAAGCUGGAGUGUAAACCACAUUUUGUUGCCGCUUUCAGUAUACACAUCGAAUCUAGUUAGUUCCUGUUAAUUGUUUGUAA